rnacentral:ncRNA from 1 species
GGGAUGUUGUUAUGCACUGGAUUUAUAGUCAGGUUUGGUGGUGAGCCAAACCUUUU